UGUGAGUUAGUGUAUGAGGCACUUAAAAUUUUGAUUUUUAAAGAUAAGGUUAGAUUCCUUAAUUUACAA
rnacentral:tRNA from 1 species